rnacentral:rRNA from 1 species
CCUACGGGCGGCAGCAGUGAGGAAUAUUGGUCAAUGGGCUUACGCCUGAACCAGCCAAGUCGCGUGAGGGAAGACUGCCCUAUGGGUUGUAAACCUCUUUUGUCAGGGAGCAACGCCGGCUACGUGUAGCCGGACUGAGAGUACCUGAAGAAAAAGCACCGGCUAACUCCGUGCCAGCAGCCGCGGUAAUACGGGGGUUGCGAGCUUUAGCGGGUUUUUUUGGGUUUAAAGGGGGCGUAGGCGGAAUGCCAAGUCAGCGGUAAAAUCGCGGGGCUCAACCUCGCUCCGCCGUUGAAACUGGCGUUCUUGAGUGGGCGAGAAGUAUGCGGAAUGCGUGGUGUAGCGGUGAAAUGCAUAGAUAUCACGCAGAACUCCGAUUGCGAAGGCAGCAUACCGGCGCCCAACUGACGCUGAGGCACGAAAGCGUGGGUAUCGAACAGGAUUAGAUACCCCAGUAGUC